rnacentral:rRNA from 1 species
GACGAACGCUGGCGGCGUGCCUAACACAUGCAAGUCGAACGGGGUUACGAGAGCUUGCUCUUGUAACUUAGUGGCGAACGGGUGAGUAACGCGUGAGAAACCUGCCUCUCAGUGGGGGACAACAGUUGGAAACGACUGCUAAUACCGCAUAACACUUUAGUACCGCAUGGUACAGAAGUCAAAGCUUUAUGUGCUGAGAGAUGGUCUCGCGUCUGAUUAGCUAGAUGGCGGGGUAACGGCCCACCAAGUCGACGAUCGGUAGCCGGCCUGAGAGGGUGAACGGCCACAUUGGGACUGAGACACGGCCCAAACUCCUACGGGAGGCAGCAGUGGGGAAUAUUGGGCAAUGGGGGAAACCCUGACCCAGCAACGCCGCGUGAAGGAAGAAGGCCCUCGGGUUGUAAACUUCUUUUACCAGGGACGAAGAACGUGACGGUACCUGGAGAAAAAGGCCAACGGCUAACUACGUG